rnacentral:rRNA from 1 species
AGCGCCGGCUAACUACGUGCCAGCAGCCGCGGUAAGACGUAGGGCGCGAGCGUUAUUCGGAAUUAUUGGGCGUAAAGGGCGCGUAGGCGGCUGUGUAAGUCAAAGGUGAAAUCCCUCAGCUCAACUGAGGAACUGCCUUUGAAACUGCACAGCUUGAGGCCGGGAGGGGGUGGCGGAAUUCCCAGUGUAGCGGUGAAAUGCGUAGAUAUUGGGAGGAACACCAGUGGCGAAGGCGGCCACCUGGACCGGUUCUGACGCUGAUGCGCGAAAGCGUGGGUAGCAAACAGGAUUAGAUACCCUGGUAGUCCACGCUGUAAGCGAUGGGUACUCGGUGUCGUGGGUAUCGACCCCUACGGUGCCUUAGCUAACGCGUUAAGUACCCCGUCUGGGGAGUACGGUCGCAAGGCUG